UACAGAGGUCCCAAGCGUUGUUCGGAUUCAUUGGGCGUAAAGGGUGCGUAGGCGGCGCGGUAAGUCGGGUGUGAAAUCCCCGGGCUCAACCCGGGAACUGCGUCCGAUACUGGAAGGCUUGAAUCCGGGAGAGGGAUGCGGAAUUCCAGGUGUAGCGGUGAAAUGCGUAGAUAUCUGGAGGAACACCGGUGGCGAAGGCGGCAUCCUGGACCGGCAUUGACGCUGAGGCGCGAAAGCCAGGGGAGCAAACGGG
rnacentral:rRNA from 1 species